rnacentral:rRNA from 1 species
ACACUGACGUCGCGACGCAUAUCAAUAAGCGGAGGAAAAGGAACUGACAAGGAUUCCCUUAGUAACGGCGAGUGAAGCGGGAAGAGCUCAAAUUUGAAAUCUUCAAGGUUCUACCUUGACGAAUUGUAGUUUAAAGAAGUGUUUUCUGUUAGAUGAGUGGCAAAAGUUCCUUGGAAUGGGACAUCAUAGAGGGUGAGAAUCCCGUAUUUGGUUAUUCAUUCUAGCUUUGUGAUACACUUUCAAAGAGUCGGAUUGUUUGGGAAUGCAGUCCAAAAUGGGUGGUAAAUUUCAUCUAAAGCUAAAUAUUGGCGAGAGACCGAUAGCGAACAAGUACCGUGAGGGAAAGAUGAAAAGAACUUUGAAAAGAGAGUUAAACAGUACGUGAAAUUGUCAAAAGGGAAGCGUUUGACACCAGUGUUGUUUUUCCGAAAAUCAAUUACGAAUGGCUUGAUUUUGUGUUGUAUUGACCUUAUCAGCUUUCUUCACUUUUUUCGAGUCUUUCUUAAUGCACUUUUCGGUUAACAAGUCAACAUCAAUUUCUUUUGUUGUAAAAGAGUAUUCGGAAGGUGGCUUUCUUUUCGGAGAAAGUGUUAUAGCCCUAUACUUCUACAAUCGGAGAGAUUGAGGUCUGCAGCGUAGAUCCCUCGGGGUUAGAUACACUUGUGCUAAGUUAUAGCUUUUCAUAGACAACUUGUUGACUAUGUUUAGUCAUGUCGCUUACUCGCCUAGUGCUAUUUUACCUACGCUAGGAUGUUGAGUCGUAGAGCACGCAG